CUGUCAUACAUAUUAAUGAUUCAUUUUUGUCUAAUAAUUUUUUACUUUUUCACCAAUAACAGACCAAGUUUGGUUUGGACGCCUCUGAUGCCUUGAUGGUGGAUUUACUUAGUGAUCGUUUUAAUGUGUCUGAUCAGGAUCUGAACAUACAUAAAGUUAUAAUGCCUUAAUUAGAAAAAAAAGUAUCAUUCAGAUCCUGGUCGGAAACGCACCAUUUCAAUGUGCUAUACUUAUUUUGCUGGGGAAUCUGGUCCAAAAUUAGACUAUAUGACAAAAUGGGACUUUUAAAAUGGCAACUAUCUCAGACUAAAACAUGCUGGAGGAGUGCGGUCAAAUUGGUACUCUGUAUCAUGUCUUUUGGUCUUGCCCUAAACUAAAACAGUAUUGGGAAGGUAUUCACACUCU